CUCAGAUUGAACGCUGGCGGCAGGCCUAACACAUGCAAGUCGAGCGUGAAAGCCUUCGGGUGAGUAGAGCGGCGGACGGGUGAGUAACGCGUGGGAAUCUACCUAGUAGUGGGGGACAACAGUUGGAAACGACUGCUAAUACCGCAUACGUCCUAAGGGAGAAAGCGGGGGAUCUUCGGACCUCGUGCUAUUAGAUGAGCCCGCGUAAGAUUAGCUAGUUGGUGGGGUAAUGGCCCACCAAGGCGACGAUCUUUAGCUGGUCUGAGAGGAUGAUCAGCCACACUGGAACUGAGACACGGUCCAGACUCCUACGGGAGGCAGCAGUGGGGAAUAUUGCACAAUGGGCGCAAGCCUGAUGCAGCCAUGCCGCGUGUGUGAAGAAGGCUCUAGGGUUGUAAAGCACUUUCAGCGAGGAGGAAAGGGUGAUGUUUAAUAGGCAUUAUCUGUGACGUUACUCGCAGAAGAAGCACCGGCUAACUCCGUGCCAGCAGCCGCGGUAAUACGGAGGGUGCGAGCGUUAAUCGGAAUUACUGGGCGUAAAGCGCGCGUAGGCGGUUAUUUAAGCUAGAUGUGAAAGCCCAGGGCUCAACCUUGGAACUGCAUUUAGAACUGGGUAGCUAGAGUACAGCAGAGGAUAGUGGAAUUUCAGGUGUAGCGGUGAAAUGCGUAGAGAUCUGAAGGAACAUCAGUGGCGAAGGCGACACUCUGGACCAAUACUGACGCUGAGGUGCGAAAGCGUGGGUAGCAAACAGGAUUAGAUACCCUGGUAGUCCACGCCGUAAACGAUGUCUACUAGCCGUUGGGUUCCUUGAGGACUUAGUGGCGCAGCUAACGCAUUAAGUAGACCGCCUGGGGAGUACGGCCGCAAGGUUAAAACUCAAAUGAAUUGACGGGGGCCCGCACAAGCGGUGGAGCAUGUGGUUUAAUUCGAUGCAACGCGAAGAACCUUACCAGGUCUUGACAUCCUACUAAGUUUCCAGAGAUGGAUUCGUGCCUUCGGGAAAGUAGUGACAGGUGCUGCAUGGCUGUCGUCAGCUCGUGUCGUGAGAUGUUGGGUUAAGUCCCGUAACGAGCGCAACCCUUGUCCUUAGUUGCCAUCAGGUAAUGCUGGGAACUCUAAGGAGACUGCCGGUGACAAACCGGAGGAAGGUGGGGACGACGUCAAGUCAUCAUGGCCCUUACGACCUGGGCUACACACGUGCUACAAUGGGGCGCACAAAGGGCAGCUAAGCCGCGAGGUGGAGCUAAUCCCAGAAAACGUCUCGUAGUCCGGAUUGGAGUCUGCAACUCGACUCCAUGAAGUCGGAAUCGCUAGUAAUCGUGAAUCAGAAUGUCACGGUGAAUACGUUCCCGGGCCUUGUACACACCGCCCGUCAUACCAUGGGAGUGGGUUGCAAAAGAAGUGAGUAGCUUAACCUUCGGGAUGGCACUCACCACUUUGUGAUUCAUGACUGGGGUGAAGUCGUAACAAGGGUAGCCGUAA
rnacentral:rRNA from 1 species